UACGUAGGGUGCGAGCGUUGUCCGGAAUUAUUGGGCGUAAAGGGCUUGUAGGCGGUUUGUCGCGUCUGCUGUGAAAAUCCGGGGCUUAACCCCGGGUCGGCAGUGGAUACGGGCAGGCUAGAGGUAGGUAGGGGAGAAUGGAAUUCCCGGUGUAGCGGUGAAAUGCGCAGAUAUCGGGAGGAACACCGGUGGCGAAGGCGGUUCUCUGGGCCUUACCUGACGCUGAGGAGCGAAAGCGUGGGGAGCGAACAGG
rnacentral:rRNA from 1 species